UACAGAGGGUGCGAGCGUUGUCCGGAAUCACUGGGCGUAAAGGGCGCGUAGGUGGUGGCUUAAGCGUGCGGUGAAAGCUCGGGGCUCAACCCCGGGUCGGCCGUGCGAACUGGGCUCACUGGAGCAUAGUAGAGGCAGGUGGAAUUCCGGGUGUAGCGGUGGAAUGCGUAGAGAUCCGGAAGAACACCGGUGGCGAAGGCGGCCUGCUGGGCUAUGGCUGACACUGAGGCGCGACAGCGUGGGGAGCAAACAGG
rnacentral:rRNA from 1 species